rnacentral:lncRNA from 1 species
UUUGUGUAGUAUUGCAAUAUGGUUAGACACCGCCUCCAUAAACAUUAAAUAUCUCUUAAGUAAUAGAUAAAUACAUGUACAGAAUUCGUAAUGAGUUAUAUGUAAAUAUUGAAGAUAUUUUAUUUGAUACAGUAAAAGCAAUAGCAGUGGAAAUCAAUAAUUCCGUCGGGAUGCUUGCAUAAAAUACGACAGCAGUCAUUAAAGUAUUGUAACAAGGGAUCUUUAUUCCACAUAAAUAGAAUCUUCCACGGACUUACUGGUUUGUCAUACCGAUACUUUAACGGGGAACUAUGCAUUUCGUCAUGCUUCUAACGUUAUGCCUGUUCAUAUGGAACGUACAAGCAAGUCAGG